rnacentral:tRNA from 1 species
CUAGAUACACGGGCCUCGAUCCCGUAAACAACUAAUUAACAGCUAGUCACUCUAUCCAGCGAGCUUCUAUCUA